AGAGACAGCAGCCGCCGCGGGAAUACGAAGGGUGCAAACGUUGCUCGGAAUUAUUGGGCGUAAAGCGCACGUAGGCGGCUCCGCAAGUCGGAUGUGAAAUCCCUCGGCUUAACCAAGGAAGUGCAUCCGAAACUGCAGAGCUUGAGUACUUAAGAGGAUCGCGGAAUUCCCGGUGUAGAGGUGAAAUUCGUAGAUAUUGGGAAGAACACCGGUGGCGAAGGCGGCGACCUGGUCCUUGACUGACGCUGAGGCGCGAAAGCGUGGGGAGCAAACUGGAUUAGAUACCCGCGUAGUCCCUGUCUCUUAUAC
rnacentral:rRNA from 1 species